rnacentral:rRNA from 1 species
GUAGGUGGCAAGCGUUGUCCGGAAUUAUGGGCGUAAAGCGCGCGCAGGCGGGUUCUUUAAGUCUGAUGUGAAAGCCCACGGGCUCAACCGUGGAGGGUCAUUGGAAACUGGAGAACUUGAGUACAGAAGAGGAAAGCGGAAUUCCACGUGUAGCGGUGAAAUGCGUAGAGAUGUGGAGGAACACCAGUGGCGAAGGCGGCUUUCUGGUCUGUAACUGACGCUGAGGCGCGAAAGCGUGGGGAGCAAACAGGAUUAGAUACCCUGGUAGUCCACGCCGUAAACGAUGAGUGCUAAGUGUUAGGGGGUUUCCGCCCCUUAGUGCUGCAGCUAACGCAUUAAGCACUCCGCCUGGGGAGUACGACCGCAAGGUUG